rnacentral:tRNA from 1 species
GCCCGGAGUAGCUCAGCGGUAGAGCAGCCCAAUGGGGAGACGGAGGUUCGAAUCCUCCCGGCG